GGGUGCAGAUGAAUAUCAAGUAAUCUGCAGGUUUUUGGGUGGUCGGGCCGCCAUCC
rnacentral:ncRNA from 12 species